CAGUAGCCGCGGGAAUACGGAGGGCGCGAGCGUUACCCGGAUUUACUGGGCGUAAAGGGCGUGUAGGCGGCCUGGGGCGUCCCAUGUGAAAGGCCACGGCUCAACCGUGGAGGAGCGUGGGAUACGCUCAGGCUAGAGGGUGGGAGAGGGUGGUGGAAUUCCGGGAGUAGCGGUGAAAUGUGCAGAUACCGGGAGGAACGCCGAUGGCGAAGGCAGCCACCUGGUCCACUUCUGACGCUGAGGCGCGAAAGCGUGGGGAGUAAACCGGAUUAGAGACCCGCGUAGUCCCUGUCUCUUAUAC
rnacentral:rRNA from 1 species